UAAGUCUACCGCCUGGGGACUACGGCCGCAAGGUUAAAACUCAAAGGAAUUGACGGGUCCCCGCACAAGCAGCGGAGCGUGUGGUUUAAUUCGAUGCUACACGAAGAACCUUACCUGGGUUUGACAUAGAGGUAGUAGGGAAGCGAAAGCGGACCGACCCUUCGGGGAGCCUCUACAGGUGUUGCAUGGCUGUCGUCAGCUCGUGUCNUGAGAUGUUCGGUUAAGUCCGCUAACGAGCGCAACCCUCGCUGUGUGUUACAAGUGUCACACGGUACUG
rnacentral:rRNA from 1 species